AUUGAACGCUGGCGGCAGGCCUAACACAUGCAAGUCGAGCGGCAGCGGGAGAGUAGCUUGCUACUUUUGCCGGCGAGCGGCGGACGGGUGAGUAAUGCUUGGGGAUCUGCCCAAUCGUGGGGGAUAACCAUUGGAAACGAUGGCUAAUACCGCAUACGCCCUACGGGGGAAAGCAGGGGACCUUCGGGCCUUGCGCGAUUGGAUGAACCCAAGUGAGAUUAGCUUGUUGGUGAGGUAACGGCUCACCAAGGCGACGAUCUCUAACUGGUCUGAGAGGAUGACCAGUCACACUGGGACUGAGACACGGCCCAGACUCCUACGGGAGGCAG
rnacentral:rRNA from 1 species